rnacentral:rRNA from 1 species
UUUAGAUGGCGACCGGCGCACGGGUGAGUAACACGUAUCCAACCUGCCGAUGACUCGGGGAUAGCCUUUCGAAAGAAAGAUUAAUACCCGAUGGCAUAGUUCUUCCGCAUGGUGGAACUAUUAAAGAAUUUCGGUCAUCGAUGGGGAUGCGUUCCAUUAGGUUGUUGGCGGGGUAACGGCCCACCAAGCCUUCGAUGGAUAGGGGUUCUGAGAGGAAGGUCCCCCCACAUUGGAACUGAGACACGGUCCAAACUCCUACGGGAGGCAGCAUG